rnacentral:tRNA from 1 species
GAAGGUAGAGCUCAGUGGGAGAGUGCCUGCUUGGCAUGCACAAGGUCCCUGGGUCCAAUCCCAGUACCUCCA